rnacentral:rRNA from 1 species
AGUGAACGCUGGCGGUAGGCCUAACACAUGCAAGUCGAACGGCAGCACAGUAAGAGCUUGCUCUUACGGGUGGCGAGUGGCGGACGGGUGAGGAAUACAUCGGAAUCUACUUUUUCGUGGGGGAUAACGUAGGGAAACUUACGCUAAUACCGCAUACGACCUACGGGUGAAAGCAGGGGAUCUUCGGACCUUGCGCGAUUGAAUGAGCCGAUGUCGGAUUAGCUAGUUGGCGGGGUAAAGGCCCACCAAGGCGACGAUCCGGAGCUGGUCUGAGAGGAUGAAAGGCAACAUGGGGCCGGAGAUACGGCCAAGAUUCCUACGGGGGGCGGCAGGGGGGAAUAUUGCACAAUGGGCGGAAGCCUGAUGAAGAAACGCCGCGUGCGGGAUGACGGCCUUCGGGUUGUAAACAGAUUUCGCCUGUGACGAAGCGUGAGUGACGGUAAUGGGUAAAGAAGCACCGGCUAACUACGUG